CCCUCACACAAAUUUAUGUUAAAGAUGAAAUUCUGUACUACAGUGAAGUUUAAAAACAUGCAGAGUAUGAAAAAGAAAGAUAAACCAAAAAGAAAGGAGAAGAAGGAAAAAAAGACAGAUGCAAUAAACUCCGUCAGAUUCGGGGACCUUGGCCUUUUCUCGGGGGAGCACAGAUAAAUCAUAUGUGUAUGCCAUGUGCCUACCUACCUAUAAUCAUUUUUAUUGGUAAAAAAAGCUUCCUAUUCUAAUAUCCU